rnacentral:rRNA from 1 species
UGGGGAAUCUUGCACAAUGGGGGCAACCCUGAUGCAGCGACGCCGCGUGAGCGAUGAAGCCCUUCGGGGCGUAAAGCUCUUUCGACCGGAACGAUAAUGACGGUACCGGGAGAAGAAGCUGCGGCUAACUACGUGCCAGCAGCCGCGGUAAUACGUAGGCAGCAAGCGUUGUUCGGAGUUACUGGGCAUAAAGAGUGCGUAGGCGGUUUUCUAAGUUCGGUGUGAAAUCUCCCGGCUUAACUGGGAGGGUGCGCCGAAGACUGGGAAGCUGGAGUGUGGGAAAGGCAGGCGGAAUUCCUGGUGUAGCGGUGAAAUGCGUAGAUAUCAGGAGGAACACCGGCGGUGUAGACGGCUUGCUAGACCAUAACUGACGCUGAGGCACGAAAGCGUGGGUAGCAAACA